rnacentral:lncRNA from 1 species
GCCAUUUCGCUUUCCCUUCCAGCUCCUUCAAUCGCUGAAAGCCAAAGGACCAAUGGAGGAAACCCAGCAUGUCUUUUCUUAGUAAGACUAACACAGAAAAUGGUGGGUCCCAGCGCCCUGGGAACUGACUCUUGGAUCCCCACCUGCUGUGACCCAACUGGGUUCCUCCUAGAGGAAAACCAGCCAGAGCAUACAACAGGGGAUAGUUUGGUUCAGGAUUCAUUCCCUGCCACCCAUGGUUGUGUCUGUGCUAAUAAGCAAAACGGGGCCAGGAUAUGGGCACGAGCACUAGAGCAUGAUUGUCUGCGCUGUUUGUUAGCAUGGUCCCUGGCACAGUUUUGUUGUUGGUGUGCUACCAGACAGCACGUGGCUCUGGGAGCAGUGCGUGUGGGAGACCAUCUCCAGUGGGCAGCAGAUGGGGCCAUGCUGUUGGGGAGAGACAGAAAAAUGGGCUGUACGGGCAUGCGGUACACUGUGCCACUUGGCUUUAGGAUUAGAGAAGAUGCCUUGGACUGCUCUAGCUACUAGUACUGGUGUAGUUCUGUGUCUCGGAAGUGUGCUGGGUUUCUGGCUGCUACCAGCUCCACUGCAAGUUAGACAUCACCCUGACAAAUUUCAGCCAGGAGAUGCCACCACACCUGAGAAGGCUAUUCUGCACGAAACAUCGAAGCAGCCAGGCUCUGCUUCUCGCUACAGCUUACGCAGAUAGCAGAGAUGUGCAAUAGCUCCUUAUAAUUCUAUAACCUCGUGCUUUCCCCCCCCCCCUUUUUAAAAAGACUUUCAGUUUAGUAGUAUUUAGCCACUGUGGUUGUCUUUUCCAUGAACCUGUAAUAACAACAAGCACAAAGUUUUUCUGCAAAUGGAUAGAGCUGUUUCAAUUUUACAAGUAAUUUCCUAAAUUAAUAUGCCCCAAUUUCAUUGCCUUCUCUUUUUCAGGCAACUGUUUAUAAAUUACACCAUCCCUUUCUAUUUUUUCUCAUUUUGGGACACUGGGGUUCUGGUUACAAAAAGGGAAAAACUGGAAAGAGUUAGAAAAACUGGAUGGGGACGAUAUGCAUUUCCUCCCUCACAGAGCAUAUAAAAAGACAUUCCAGUGACAUAAGAGUGUCAUCAAAGUAAGAGAUAGGAUUCAUCAGCAUCUGAAUGAUUUUUCAGUGGAAUGACUGAUUUACAUAGAUAUUGAAAUAUUGCAUGUCCUCCUCUGUCCCUUUCUCUGUAUGGCUUCUAGAUAAGUGUGCUUUUUUAAAUUAUACCAGGAAUUGUCUUUGUUCUCUUGUUUCAAAGUUAUGCUUAGACUAUAAUGAUACUAAACUUUUGCAAUUGCAAGCACUGUUCAGUGGAAAGAUUAAAUAAUAAAAAAAUAGUUGAUCAUCA